rfam:Actibacterium atlanticum strain 22II-S11-z10 contig17, whole genome shotgun sequence.
GACAGAAACAGUCAUUACGGUGCUCAAAGGUGCAAAUGCAUUAGAGCUGAAACGGGAAUGAGGACGGUGGACCAAAUCGCGGCACCGAAACCUCAACCGCCCCCGCGACUGUGAGCGGCGAGCUACCUUCCAUUUCCACUGGUGCGAGAGUGCUGGGAAGGGGGAAGACGGCAUCGACCCGCGAGUCAGGAGACCGGCCGUAUAUUGAACGUAACU